rnacentral:rRNA from 1 species
UACAGAGGUCUCAAGCGUUGUUCGGAUUCAUUGGGCGUAAAGGGUGCGUAGGUGGCUGGGCAAGUCUGGUGUGAAAUCCCGGGGCUCAACCCCGGAACUGCACUGGAUACUGCCUUGCUAGAGCACUGGAGAGGGAACUGGAAUUUACGGUGUAGCAGUGAAAUGCGUAGAUAUCGUAAGGAAGACCAGUGGCGAAGGCGAGUUCCUGGACAGUUGCUGACACUGAGGCACGAAGGCUAGGGGAGCAAACGGG